ACCAAUUGUGACUUUCUCCAUAUUCUAAUACUCUGCUGAAAAAUGAGACGGAAUCUCUUGGAAUCUAAAACGACGAGAAACGGCACGAAGGAAUAGUUCAUCGUUGGAUUUCUUUACUACGAAUGCGACGAAUACGAGAUGGUUGGCUCAAAAUGAUUGCUGUUGCGAUUUAUUAAAUUGAUGCUGUUACAAACUAAACAAUGGGAAGAGAAGAGAGGUGAAAAGCAGGCUUGACAAUUUUGAGAAGAGGAGAAGGAGGAGGAGGAAGAAGAGGAGGCUCAAGAAAAGCAAUGGAUCAAUUUUACGAU